UCACCGCUGACGAGUCUCAAACAGGACGAAACAGCUGUCCAGUGC
rnacentral:hammerhead_ribozyme from 1 species